AACGAACGCUGGCGGCAGGCUUAACACAUGCAAGUCGAACGCCCCGCAAGGGGAGUGGCAGACGGGUGAGUAACGCGUGGGAAUCUACCCAGUUCUACGGAACAACUGAGGGAAACUUCAGCUAAUACCGUAUACGCCCUACGGGGGAAAGAUUUAUCGGAAUUGGAUGAGCCCGCGUUGGAUUAGCUAGUUGGUGAGGUAACGGCUCACCAAGGCGACGAUCCAUAGCUGGCCUGAGAGGAUGAUCAGCCACACUGGGACUGAGACACGGCCCAGACUCCUACGGGAGGCAGCAGUGGGGAAUAUUGGACAAUGGGCGCAAGCCUGAUCCAGCCAUGCCGCGUGAGUGAUGAAGGCCUUAGGGUUGUAAAGCUCUUUCAGUGGGGACGAUAAUGACGGUACCCACAGAAGAAGCCCCGGCUAACUUCGUGCCAGCCGCCGCAGUAAAAC
rnacentral:rRNA from 1 species